rnacentral:misc_RNA from 1 species
AGUAAACAAGUGGAUUGAUUGCCCACUGUACGCGAGUGUCAUUCAAACAAAAGUUCAAAACAUCUGUUGUAUGUUGUUGUUUGUAUUUUUAAAUAUAAUAUAAAUUCUGCUUAAAUAAUAUAAUUUAAAAAGCAUUUUUUACCCAAAUUAAAGUGUGUGUUUGAGUGCGUGCCGCAAUAUUUUUCUUAUUGUUGUGACGUCAUUGUUUUCGACUGCCAGUAAAAACGACGCAAUUGCACCAUUUAAUUGAAAUGGAAUUAAAAUGAGCUAUAUAUUUUUAAACAAGAGGCUAGUGUCAAGUGAACAGAAUGUCGGCGGAGUCGCCGCGGCACGCGCGCGCGGGCGGGCCCCUCACGGUGCCGUCGCAGCCGCCCAGCGACCGCAGCAUCAUCGACGCGGUGUCCGGCUUCAUCAACGACGUCACGCUCUCUUCUUCAUCCACUGUUGAUCCUAAGGACGUUAUACAGUGGGCGAGGUUCGAAACAGCCGAUAUAAAUGAACCUACACCUGAAGGAGACAUAGACAAUGACGUCCCGCCACUACUGCUCAUCCUGGGCUACGGCUCUGGCGUGCAAGUGUGGCUCAUCCCGCCCACCGGGGAGGCUCAGGAGGUGCUCUCCUGGCGCCAAGGCACUGUGAGGGUGCUCCGUAUACUGCCCACUCCGCAGCACGGCGACUGCUUUGCAUCGAAGAGGCCCCUCAUAGCCUUGUGUGACUCGGCCAGCCCUGGCCCGGCUUUCUGCUCGCUCAGUUUUAUAUCCAUUAGGGGUGGAGAACAGGUGAAAAGCAUCAAAUUCAAGAACCCAAUACUAGAUGUGUUGGCAAACAAGCGUUCUGUGGUGGUAUCUUUCUCUGAACGCUUUGCUGUCUUCGAUGCGGCCACUUUAGAGGACAGACUGGCGAUUACCACUUGCUUCCCCUGCCCAUGCCCCCUGGGGGGUAAUUCCCCCAUCAACCCCCUGACUUUGGGGGACCGCUGGCUCGCGUACGCCGAUAAGAAGUUGAAUCCAUCGAAACGAAGCAGUGGGGGAUGUGAAAGCGAAGGUGUGACCAGCUACACGGCGACAGUUCUGCACGCAGCCAAGUCUCUGAGCAAGGGUCUGCGCGGGCUGGGGGAGAGCGUGGCUCACAGCCUGGCGGGCGGGCGCAGCACUUCGCAGUCGCCCUCGCCGCCGCACGCGGACAUACAGCAGCCGGGAGUGGUCACUGUGUUGGACAUUGAGGGUAACGAAGACGAUGACAGCCAAGACUGCGAAGACCCGUGCGACCCUAUCGUGGCUCACUUCGUGGCGCACUCGGAGGCCAUCAUCGCGCUGAAGUUCGACCCGAGCGGCAUGCUGCUGGUGACGGCCGACCGGCGCGGGCACGACUUCCACGUGUUCCGCAUCAACCCGCACCCCUGCGGGCCCAGCCUGGCGGCCGUGCACCACUUGUACAUACUGCACAGGGGGGACACUACGGCUAAAGUGCAGGAUAUAGCAAUAUCUGGCGACUCGCGCUGGACGGCCAUCUCUACGCUGCGCGGCACCACGCACGUGUUCGCCGUGAGCCCGUACGGCGGCGCGUGCGGCGUGCGCACGCACACGCAGCCGCGCGUCGUCAACCGCCUGUCGCGCUUCCACCGCUCCGCCGGCCUGCCCAUACACGGCGCGCCCUGCGCUCAUAGCCCGGUGUGCGAAGGCAUGGGCGCAGGCGCUUGGUUCCCUAACCCGCGCCUGCCGCCCUACCCGCAGCCCAACAGCAGUGCGCCGCUUGCGCAGCUGCGUCCCACGCACAAGCUCGCCACACACACCAUCACCAGGACCAGCUCCGGUCGCCAGCGUCUGUCGUCGCUGUCGGAGGAGAGCGGGUCGGCGCCGCUGCUGGCGCGCGCGUGCUUUGGCGUCAACGGCAUCACGGGGCGCGCGGCGUCCGUGCCGCUCUACCUCAUGGCGGCCUCCGGGGCGCUGCUGCAUCUGGCGCUGCACCCGCGCGCCGCACGCAAUGUGCCGAAAGAGAAGAUCAGCGACGAGUCCCCGAUAGAGCUGGAGGUGGAGGCGAUGGCGCAGUGGCCGCUGCAGCGCCCGCCGGCCGCCGCCGACCUGCUGGCGCCGCUGCCGCCCUCCAACCCGCUGCUGCAGCCGCUGAGUUGUCGGAGAUGCGCGGACAUGUGCAUGAGCGAGGAGGAGCGCUGGCUGUCGCAGGUGGAGAUAGUGACGCACGCGGGCCCGCACCGCCGCCUGUGGAUGGGCCCGCAGUUCGUCUUCAAGACGUACAACAGCACUGGCUCGAACUCGUCGCUGUCGGAGGCGGAGGCGGUGGAGGUGGACACGAGCGCGGCGCGCGGUGCGGCUCGCUCCAACCCCGUCAACAUGCCCGGCGCGCGCCCCGUCGUGCCCGUGCUCGUCGACUCCGGCUCGGCCAGUUCACUUGAACACUCCCCGUCCGACAGUUUCCGACGCAAAUCUCUCUUGGCGGAGAGUGGUCGCGCCCCGUCCGUUUGCGACGUGCAGCUCAGAGAAGAUCUCGCCGAGGCCAUGAAGGAAGAUCACGGGCUGCGGGAGGGGCGAGAGGAAGUGCGGGAGGCGCGGGAGACGCGGCCGGAGAGCGCGGGCGUAGUGCGUGCCGUUGCGCCGCAGGGGACUGUCGUAGCGCCGCUGCGGCAGCAGCAACCCCCGCCGCUCGACCCCGACGCCUACACGCGCUCCAACGAUGACGAAGGCGCCUUCCGCCCCGUAGUGCGCGCGUCCGCUCCCCUCGCACCUCACAUCGCCACUCAACCGCUACCACACUCCACCACCAUCCCCGUGCAAAGUGUAUCGCCGAGAGAACUAUCCCCCGAAGACGAGCCGCUACCCCUCAACACGGACGUCGUAAUCCCGGCCGAGCUCACCGGCGUCCGCUCCUGGCUACCGCCAAAUGUAGAUCGUGUCGUCUACGAUGCGGAAGUCUUCGAAGAACAAACCGACACUUACGACUUUGACGACGAAAAAUUUAUGCCAACAUUUGAGCGUUCAAAUAAAUCGAUGGCCGAUGUAGUAAAUGUAGAUAGACCUAAUUUAGAUGUUAAGAAUAUCGCUGUAAAUAGAGAUCUCGAGCGUGAUAGUGCGAAGAGUGACAGAGUGUGCGAGAGUGUCUCGGUUGCCGAGACGGAACGAGAGGAUAUAUCUAAAUCACUGCCAAAAGUGAGUCGACCAUCGGAUGAUAUUCAACCGGUAGCUCGACCUAGAGUUAAGAAAUCUCCCACCACCAAGUCAGUUAGUGAUAGAGCUGCUAGUGGAGUUAGUGUUAAAAGUAGAGUGUGUGCGGAUGAAUGUGAAGUUAUUGUACCUAAGAAGCAAAGGGAAACCUCGAAAGUGAAAACAGUUAUUGAUGUCAAAAAAGAAGAAGUCAAUACGUCUGCAGAUGUAAAGCCGCCGAAAAUCACCAAAGUUUCAGACGCUUCUGAUAUUAAGAAACAACAUUGUCAGACUGAAAAGGAUGAUUCUGUCAUUACAGAAAUAACAAAAUCCACUGUUAAAGUAACAAAUGAAAAAGAACGAGAACUUUUGAUAAAGACUGAAGACCAGGCAUGGGAUAUGCUUUUGAACGAGUCUGAUAGUACUGUAAAAAUAAAUAAAGAAGUAUCACCUAAAGAUACUAAAAUAGAAGAAAGUAAAGUUAAAUCCAAAAAGAAUCGAAAAACUAAAAAAGCUGAUGAUCAUCAAACAACAGAAGAUGAUGAUGACAGUUUUAUUGAAAUACAUGCUAUAGAAGAUAAGCAGCAAACUUUAAGUGGUGAUCUUGUGUCUAUUUCAACUCCAUUUGAAGGACUAGAACCUGCAUCUUCCUACUUAUCUAAGAGUAAAAAACAACGAUCAUCAAAAAGUAGAACACCUGAAAGAAAAGAUGAGACAGUGAGACCAGCUCCAAUAGUCACUGAAGAUGUUAUUGUUACUAGUACUGACACGACGAAAAGUAUAAAUAAAAACACUAAUGAAAAUAUUUUCAGUGAAACAAAAUCUUACGCCCAGUCCAUUUCUACGACAAAAGACACGCUCAAAGAUUUUAAAGACAGUAUUGUUUUAGAUUCUACGCCUGUUUUCGAUUCUAAACCUAACAUGACUUCCUUUGGAAAAGAAUCGCCAAAAUCGUCAAAAAGAAAAUCUUCUCCUAAACUUGAUAGUCGUAAAGUAGAAAAAGCUUGUGAAAUUGAUGAAAAGGAGGUGUAUGUUAUCAAUACAACUGAGGAUGAUUUUCCAGAAAUUCAAAUAACUAGAGGCAACAAGACCCACAAAAAGUCACCCUUACUGUCAGAAAAGAAGAAUCACGAUAGUGAUAAAAGUGAGAAACCUCCAAAAUCAUGGAGUUCUAUUGCAGCGUCGAAAAAUGUUAAAACGGUAGAGGAUAUUAAAAACAAUGUUGAAACUAUAAGAAAAGAUGAUGUGCAGGAUGUAGCUUCCAUUUUAGAGUAUAACAAAAAAACAGAAAUAUCAUUGCAGGAGAAGCUUAUGGAACUUUGUAAGAGAACCGAUAUUAUGGUGGCGGAAUGUGAUGCUCCUUCGGAUCUUAAUUUUGUUGAAGAACAUCAUUCAGUGUUGCCUGACUUGCCACCAUUGGAACCAAUGGAUUUCGGUUUAGAUGAUUUCAAACUUGAAGUGAUGAGAGACAGUCUCUUAGAGGAAGAUGCAAAAAUAACUAGCCCCAUAUGCAAGAUUAACAUUGACGACAUUCUGUCAUCUAUUAAAGAUACAACAAAGAAAGCUAUCGAAUCUAGUACAUUUAAUCUGAUCGAUAUAGAAAAAGUGCCCUUGCGUAAAGAGAAAGGUUUUAAUGUUGUUGAAAGUGUUAAGAUUACAUCGCAAGAAUUUAAGUUAGAGGAAGAUACUAAAUUAGAUAAUGAUCUUGAAAAGUCAUCUGACGAUGAUAUUGCAUCUCCUGUAUUAUCGGCUGACAGUGACAAAGAGGAUAAGAAGAAUUCCGAAGCCGCUAAUACUACUUUGUCUUCGUCGAAACAAUCUAAAUCCAAAAAAUCACGUAGAAAGAAAAAGUAAUAAGAAUCGUGUUCAACAGUUUUGAUCUUCUGAGCUUGAUUUAUUUAGGCUAUGCAGUAUACAGUUAUUAGUGAAAUAUUUGCAGCUAUUAUUGUUGUUGUAAUUUUAGAUAAGCAAAUGAAUUUUGAAGUGGAUAUGCACAGAUAAAAUACAAAAAAAAAAAAAUCCUUACAAGGCAAAUAAUUCUUUAUAAUAUUAUGAUAUACGGUGCUGAUGAUGCUUGUUGUAAUUUUGACAAGAUAUCUCAGUAUAGAUGUAUAUCAUAUAAUAAAAUAUAAAUAAAAAAUGAAAAAAGUGUAGGAAAAAAUAACAAAAAAUGACGGCUAGAUUUCUUGAGUUGCUAAUUGCUAAAAUAAAUAUUUGAGUGGGCUUAGACAUCUGUAGUAAAACAGUAAUUGUCAUUGGUUAUAUAGAUAAUAUAUUUAUUGGUGAAGGGUUUACAAUUUUAAAAAAGGUACUCACCGUUUCUUCUACUGCUUCCUAUUAUAAUAGAUUUAUAGUCUGUGAUAGUGACUUCUGUAAUUUUAUAAAAGCUGAAAUUUAGUCUCCUACCCUAAGUAAGUGUAGUAGGCAACUAUGAUCUGCAUGGCUUUGUGAGGUAGCGGAUUUUAAGGGUCCAGACCCUCAACAGUCCAAGUAAGCGUAAUUGAUUUUUAUAUUUUCCUCGGCAUGUAUGGUAAAGCCGUGUCAAAGUGGUCCCUUUAAAAAAUACCGUUAACGAUCAAACGAUCAAAUUAAAGUGGAUCACUACUGUUUAAAGUUUACUUUGAAUUAGUUUGAUGCUUAUAUUGAAUCAAUGUUUGUUAAUACGUUAGGGGCCUUUAGUCCCUAACGUCGUGUUACCAAGAAAUUAAGUUUCUAGCGACUAGUUACUAACAAGUUGCUCAUGAUAUCGCGUACAAAAUGUCUAUCGAAAGAUGACUCGCCAAGUCGGUCCCUCGUGGUCCGAACACCAUACUUGCGUACCGUACUUACCUAUGGUAAGAGCAUCAACUGACAAACGUUCAGCUUUUUUUAUAAAGUCUAGCUAUCACGGGGUCUUAGAUCUUAUAAUAUAGGUACAGUUUAGGAACUCAAGAAAUCGGACGCAACCUUUUUCAGUGCUCUAUUAUUAGUACUUAUUUUGCUUAUUUUAUUUAGAUUAUUAUUGUCAAUUCUGUUUAAUGCAAAAUAUUUUUUUAAAGAAUUAGAACCAAACGUUAUUAUAAUCAUUAUACCAAAGCCAUACAAUAUACACACCAAAAUGCGGUCUUUCGUUUUGAAUUCACCCAAAAGAAUUGCCUUUUUUUAAGAAAAUUGAGCUUAUAAGGAAUUUUACUAUUGUUAAAGAAUCCCCUAAUAUUUGAUUUACCGUAAUUUUAAUUUUAAAUAUAGAACAUGGGUGCUGUUAAUUUAAGUGUCAAAUUUUGCAUUAAACAGAAUUUGUUACAAACGUAGAUUUAGUUAAAAGUUUUAUUUUCCAAACGCAGUGCACUAUUUUCUAUAUAGGAUUCACGAGGCCAGUAAAUAAAAACUUGCGUUAGGUACUUCGCAACGUGGCGGUGUUAUAUUUAUAUAAUGAUUUUGCUUUACGAAGAACUUAGGUCAGAAGGCAGACGAUUGUCUUUCUCCAUGAAUAUCCUUGUCAAAAAGAACGACACUAGUUUUAUUUCGUAAUUAUACGUAAUAGUACCAUUUCUUCUAUACGCAGUAGAAUCUCGCUAUUCUUAAAAGAAAUAUCCACUAAUUUAUUGUCAAAUUUUAUUUAAUUUCUGUACAC